rnacentral:rRNA from 1 species
UGGCGAACGGGUGAGUAACACGUGAGCAACCUGCCCUAAAGAGGGGGAUAACGUUUGGAAACGAACGCUAAUACCGCAUAAAAUAUACGACAGGCAUCUGUGCGUAUAUCAAAGGAGAGAUCCGCUUUUGGGAUGGGCUCGCGUCCGAUUAGAUAGUUGGCGGGGUAACGGCCCACCAAGUCGACGAUCGGUAGCCGGACUGAGAGGUUGAACGGCCACAUUGGGACUGAGACACGGCCCAG